UACGUAGGCAGCGAGCGUUGUUCGGCUUUCCUUUUCUUCCCUUUUUUUUAUUCUUUUUUUUAAUUUUUUUUUGAAAUCUCCCGGCUCAACUGGGAGGGUGCGCCGAAUACUGAAUGACUUCGAGUGCGGGAGAGGAAAGUGGAAUUCCUGGUGUAGCGGUGAAAUGCGUAGAUAUCAGGAGGAACACCGGUGGUGUAGACGGCUUUCUGGACCGUAACUGACGCUGAGACACGAAAGCGUGGGUAGCAAACAGG
rnacentral:rRNA from 1 species